rnacentral:rRNA from 1 species
AUUGAACGCUGGCGGCAUGCCUUACACAUGCAAGUCGAACGGUAACAGGCCGCAAGGUGCUGACGAGUGGCGAACGGGUGAGUAAUGUAUCGGAACGUGCCCAGUCGUGGGGGAUAACUGCUCGAAAGAGCAGCUAAUACCGCAUACGACCUGAGGGUGAAAGCGGGGGAUCGCAAGACCUCGCGCGAUUGGAGCGGCCGAUAUCAGAUUAGGUAGUUGGUGGGGUAAAGGCCCACCAAGCCAACGAUCUGUAGCUGGUCUGAGAGGACGACCAGCCACACUGGGACUGAGACACGGCCCAGACUCCUACGGGAGGCAGCAGUGGGGAAUUUUGGACAAUGGACGCAAGUCUGAUCCAGCCAUGCCGCGUGCGGGAA